ACAAAAGUUAUAUGGUUAAAAUUAGUACCGCGGAGUGGGAAAAGACUGCUUGGUAUAUUGUAAUGAAUGUGAUAAUAGUUAUUUGAGAGAUUAUUGCAGAAGGAAAGAUUAAUGUAAUAGAUGCGAGCAAGAUAAGACUAUUUACCAUAUUUUCUUUGAAUGUAAGACUGCUGCUGCCGUGUGAAAUUGGAUUGUGAAUAUAACGUUAUCAUGGGAUAAUAUUAAAUUCCAGUAUAAUUAUAGUAAUGAAAAUGAAUAUAUGUUAAACUGGAUGACUGAUCUAGUUAAAAGAGCAGUGUGGAAAGCUAGAUGCGUAGAAGUUUAUGAAAGGAGAUGGGUGGAUUCUAAGACGGUUAUUGGUGAAAUUAAGAAAGGAACAGAACACAGAGUGUUAUGAAAAUAAUGAAGGUAGGAAAUAAACAAACCUGCUAUGAUGGAUUAAUUGGCAAGGUUUUGGCUGAAAGAAAUGGGAAUCUGACUUUUUAACUGUCUAUACAGAACUAUUGUUGGUCAUUCAUGGCGAAUGGUCUUCAGAUUCCAACAUAGUAAGAGAAAAUACAUUAUAGACGGCAAGCAAUCAGUAAGAGAGUCUCGACAAUGGCAAGUGAAGGACAUGAAGCUUAAUCUUCCUUAGAUUCGUGGUAAAUUUGCCAUCGAUUCUUUUAAUUUGACCAAGGCCGCAAUGGGACAUCUAGUUAGUGAAGCACAGAGUUUGGUCAUCUUAUAAAAAUUCCUGAAGGUCGUAACAAAGCUCAAACCUGGGUCCCUAAAACGAAAAUCGGCCUCAGCUAUUUCAGAGAGUCAAUUGCCCAUACUAGGCAAUUGUUAAGUGUUAUUGAGUAAGCUACAAAUAUUCUGGAUGAGGAAUUAUCUCUAUAAACAAUUAAAAUUGGCAAUAGAAAGCGUAAAAUUAUGUAAAAUUAAAUCAGACGAUGGCAAAUAUCGCUAGAAUUUAACAUAUUCGAAACAACUAAUAAAAGAGCAGAAAAUUUACAUUUUGUGCGUGAAUUAUACAAUCAAAUCAAACCUUUCAACACGUGAAAGCAAUUUUUCUACUGAUAAUUGUAAUAGACUUAAAAAUGUGCAUGAUUAUUUUAAUAAACAU